rfam:Hordeum vulgare subsp. vulgare, WGS project CAJW01000000 data, contig: morex_contig_85505
GAACUAUUCCCUUUGUCCCAAAAUUCUUGUCUUAGAUUUGUCUAAAUAUGAAUGUAUCUAGUCAUGUUUUAGUAUUUAGAUACAUCCAUUUCUAGACAAUUUAAGACAAGAAUUUUGGGACGGAGAGAGUACUUC